rnacentral:piRNA from 1 species
UCAAACAUUUAAUUUGAUUCA